rnacentral:rRNA from 1 species
CCCUUAGAUGUUCUGGGCUGCACGCGCGCUACACUGAUGCGCUCAACGAGUUUACGACCUUGCCCGGAAGGGUUGGGUAAUCUUUUUAAAACGCAUCGUGAUGGGGAUAGAUUAUUGCAAUUAUUAAUCUUUAACGAGGAAUUCCUAGUAAGCGCGAGUCAUCAGCUCGUGCUGAUUACGUCCCUGCCCUUUGUACACACCGCCCGUCGCUCCUACCGAUCGAGUGAUCCGGUGAAUAAUUCGGACUGCAGCGGUGUUCAGUUCCUGAACGUUGCAGCGGAAAGUUUAGUGAACCUUAUCACUUAGAGGAAGGAGAAGUCGUAACA